AAGAAAUUUGAAUUUGAAUGGUAACAAUUCCGUUAAAUCCUCGUCCUCGUUUUGAACGUCUCACUCAUGGCCGAUCAGUGUGUUCUUUUUGAUUAGCUCUUAAUUGAGAUCACCUGUCACGCACCCCUUUAUCAAAGGUGAACACAAUGCGUUUGGUUUACUUCUCGCAUCGGCCUGUGUCAAUCGAGGUUGAGUUUAGUGAGGGUUGAAAGUUUUCAAUCUAGAUUGCAGAUCACUAUUGUCACUUUAUACAAACUGAAAGUAUGCGUUGUUGCGUGUUUGUUUUUGUGGGCAUUUGACUGAACAGCCCAGACAAAUAUUGCUACCAACAUGGCACUUCGAAACAGACCACCGCAGUGAGUAAAAGUUAUUUUCCUUUAUUAAAUGUUGAUGUUUUUGGGAUGUCUCCUCAGACACAAGCCGUCAGUAUCCCUGCUCUUUGCACCUUGACAUGCAUGUCACUGCUGUUUGUUAACUUAGCUUUGCUGAUUUGUAUCGUGUGUGUAUGUGUGUGUGUGUGUGUGUGUGUGUGUGUGUGUGUGUUUCUUAACAGGUGUUAGAUGACUGACAAGAUCUAUGGGGGGGCCCCCUUUGGGCCCCCCCAUACCAACUUAGUCUUCAAAGGAAUCUAGUGCCAUGGGACUCCAGUGUCUUCAAAACAUCCUCGGAAUACAUGUGUAUGAAUGGUCCACCGAAGGGUUGAUCUGGAAGCCACCACGGUCCACAAAGUAAUCUGCUGCGUGGGCCGUAGUGUAUUCCAGAGCCAUCUUUCGGUCUUGGUCAGGAUUUGUUAGUUGCCCUUCAAUGUAGCAGGCUACGGGUUUCUGAAGAAGCCUGCUUUACUGGCUUACUUUAAGUCCACAAGGCCCUCUGGUAAACCACGUUGGAACACCCCUGGACAAGGUGAUUAGUCACUGGGGGGACUUGACUGGUGAGUCUACUGGAUUAAUCAGUAGCGGUACCUUGCCCAACAGAUUUGAUGGCAUGACUACAGGGUGACAAAGACAAUUAGUCCCUGCCUAUCAAAAGAGACUUCUAAAACAUAUCUGCUAGAACAGUUCCUAUACUUUUUGUAUAAUUUGGUCAUGCUGCAAAUUUACUUUUUGUAGUUGCUCCAUAUUUAGUUCUUUGACAGCCUCACCUGCUAGAAAAGUCUAUUCAAAUCGGCUAAAUAUAAUGAACUACAUUAAUAGCCAUGAAAUGUUGUCACUCAUACUAAUGGCAAAUAUCCCCUUUCAGUUGGUGGUUCAACACUGAUGUCUCUAGGCUUGAGGGAGAGCUCACAAGUAAAUUACACGAAUGUCCUGGAGCAAUUGGGAAUACACUUUUAUUUAGUCUACCUGACCAGGGACAUCUUUGAACUAUAGCCUCACCUGCUAGAAAACCUAACCCAAACUUUUCACUCUUGUUAGGUUGUCCUUUUCUCUUGUUUUAACCCGAAAGGGCUGAAAAUAUCAACAUUUCAGGUAUUCUGUUUGGAUAAUGUGCAAAACUUGUGGCUUCACUAAUAAAAAAAAUUAACGAAUGUAUUUUUCUUAAUGUGGUUACACUAUUUAAAGAUUUAUAUGCAAAAUAUUUCUGCUCAAUUUGUGGUCAAUGAAACUCAAUUUUUUUAAUUUGAUAAAACACAACUAUGGGUUAAAGGUAUUUGCUUUGGGCAUCUUUUGAUAUUUUUAGAAUCUAGCUCCAUUGCCGUUAGAAAUGGUGUCUCCCAGUACUGCAAAGUGCUUCCACAAUUUUAAAAAAGAAUGGGCAGAAAAGGAACUGCCAACUAUGAGAAAUGAACUGGUUAAUACAAUAAAC
ensembl:lncRNA